UACGUAGGUGGCAAGCGUUGUCCGGAUUUAUUGGGUUUAAAGGGUGCGUAGGCGGCAUUUUAAGUCAGUGGUGAAAUACUUCAGCUUAACUGGAGAGGUGCCAUUGAUACUGGGAUGCUUGAGUGCCGGAGAGGGUGGCGGAAUUCCCCAAGUAGAGGUGAAAUUCGUAGAUAUGGGGAGGAACACCGGUGGCGAAGGCGGCCACCUGGACGGUAACUGACGCUGAGACGCGAAAGCGUGGGGAGCAAACAGG
rnacentral:rRNA from 1 species